rnacentral:misc_RNA from 1 species
GAUGAAGAACGUAGCGAAAUGCGAUAAGUAAUGUGAAUUGCAGAAUUCAGUGAAUCAUCGAAUCUUUGAACGCACAUUGCGCCCGCCAGUAUUCUGGCGGGCAUGCCUGUUCGAGCGUCAUUUCAACCAUCAAGCCCCCGGCUUGUGUUGGGGACCUGCGGCUGCCGCAGGCCCUGAAAAGCAGUGGAGGGCUCGCUGUCACACCGAGCGUAGUAGCAUACAUCUCGCUCUGGGCGUGCUGCGGGUUCCGGCCGUUAAACCACCUUCAUAACCCAAGGUUGACCUCGGAUCAGGCAGGAAGACCCGCUGAACUUAAGCAUAUCAAUAAGCGGAGGA